AGUGAACGCUGGCGGUAGGCCUAACACAUGCAAGUCGAACGGCAGCACAGUAAGGGCUUGCUCUUACGGGUGGCGAGUGGCGGACGGGUGAGGAAUACAUCGGAAUCUACUUUUUCGUGGGGGAUAACGUAGGGAAACUUACGCUAAUACCGCAUACGACCUACGGGUGAAAGCAGGGGAUCUUCGGACCUUGCGCGAUUGAAUGAGCCGAUGUCGGAUUAGCUAGUUGGCGGGGUAAAGGCCCACCAAGGCGACGAUCCGUAGCUGGUCUGAGAGGAUGAUUAGCCACACUGGAACUGAGACACGGUCCAGACUCCUACGGGAGGCAGCAGUGGGGAAUAUUGGACAAUGGGCGCAAGCCUGAUCCAGCCAUACCGCGUGGGUGAAGAAGGCCUUCGGGUUGUAAAGCCCUUUUGUUGGGAAAGAAAAGCAGCAGGUUAAUACCCCGCUGUUCUGACGGUACCCAAAGAAUAAGCACCGGCUAACUUCGUG
rnacentral:rRNA from 1 species